CGAAGGACAGUCGGCCUUCCCGAGUGUGGAAAAUCGAGGUGCCCCUGGAAGAGGGCCAAGGACGCGGCCGUGGGCUGCGGGGCCCGGGACCUCCCGGAGGAUGCCCGCGCCGCGCCGCCUCCGCCCGCGCCUCCGUUCGCGCGCGUCAGAGCCGCAGUGACGUCGCCAGCAGGAUGGCCUGGACUUUCUUCCCACGUGGCAGCUGGGUCCCAGGAAGGACAUUCUGAGAGAUCAAGCCCUGAUGUGUACGCACUUCUCAAGCCUCUGCUUGAGUCGCACUUGCCGAUGACUAAGGCCCUGGGACCUCAAGUACAAUGCUGGGAAGAAGAGUUGACGCAGAUAUUUUUGUCUUGCUCCUGAUUUCAAAAGGGAUGUUUCAAACAUUUCACCUUGAAGAAUGAUAUUUGCUGUAAUUAUUUGGUAAAAACUCUUUAUCAGCACCACCUGUGCCCACUGUCUGUUCUCGAUGACCACUGGUUCGGUGAAUGAAUGCAAGCACAAAACGGUGGCCCUCGAGAUGAAGAGCCCAGGGUUCGACCACUCUCCAGUCGGGCCACUUGGCCACAUAAUCAAUCACUGGACACUAUGUUCCAAACCAAGGGUAAUGAGGCAGCUGCCGCCGUGUCCACUUCCUGUUCUGGGGCCUCAGCGUCUGAAGAGGGCAGACAGCGCGCUCAGGACCUGCCCCUGCCCCGGCCCCUUCGUAUCAGGAAUUCGCUUGUCCUGGAUGGUUCAGCACUUCACAUUUUCAAAAUUUCAGCCAUUGUGUUUAUUGAAAGUGCACCGAGCACAAAACACCGCAGUUCAUCUCUCUCUCUUUCUCGCUCUCUCUCUCGUGGAUGGGAAGAUUGUUCUGAAUCUAUGAAGGCAUUUAUUCACAGUGGCUUCCGAGUCAGGCUCUGCACUACUUCAAUUUUAGAUGUUUUUCUUAAUCUCCUGUUGUGUGUGGCAGUUCAGGAACAGACACUGUGAGACAGAGAGGGGGACUCUGGAUCCGGAUUCAGGCAGCCCGGGUUCAAAUCCUAGGCUUUCCCCUCCCCGUGCCUAGCUGAGUGACCGUGGGCACGUCAUUUCACUUCCAGAAGCCUCGCCUUCGUGGUCCAUCAAAUGAAAUACUAUCUCCCUCUCCAGAGUUGUUGUAAGGAUGAGCUGAAAUGGCGUGUCUGAGCACAGCACAGAGCCGUAUCCCGUUUGUGUACAUUUCCUUCAGUUCAUGCACGUGGCUUCUUUUCCAGGUGAAUUCCAGACUUCGGGAGUUUGUAGACUAGGAAAAUCUCAAAACACGUUUUGAUGAGCAUACUUUUGCCAAGUUUUUAUUUUGCCAACUUUUAAUGUUGCCAAGUAAGAACAGUAUUAAAAAAACCAACACAACUCACCUUCAUCUAUUUCCACUAAAUUUCAUAAAAGAAUAUUUAAAAAAAAAAUCAAGAGGACAUCGUUACGAGUCAAAAAUGGAUUAUGUUUAGCUUUACGAAAACCUCUCUGUAUUGCUCUUACUCAUCUUAUCUUAGAGAUGAGUGAACACUUGGUCUGCAGAUCAGUAUUUGGGAGCCGUCGCUCAUCCCAGACUCGCAGGGCUUUCCAGAUUAGCGGUUCCUCGCUGUAGACGCC
ensembl:lncRNA